GUCUCCACCGUACAAAGCCCUGAAGGGCAGUAGGGCGCACAGUUUUCCCUAACGAAAUCGGACUUGUCAACAGAAGUGAAUUUACCGGAUUUGUCGUCAGUCUAGACCUAAGUUUUCAAAAAGAAAGGAUGUUUAUGCAACAUUUACGCGGAUUUUCGUUUUUGUACCGUGUCAGCCUCUUGGUUCAGGUUGCUGAACAUGUGCACAUUGCUGAGUAGACAAACAUUGAAAAGAGCAGAACAGAAAGGAAAAAAAUACUGAAAUGUGGUUUAAAGACUAAGAUGAAAGUCUAAAUACUUUCAGUAAAGUAACCAAUGAAACACAAAUGGACAUGACUUAUACUUGUAAAAAACACGACUUCAAUUUAUCGCCAUGAAUGACAAUAAAAGUGUUGUUAAAAAAA